rnacentral:rRNA from 1 species
AUUGAACGCUGGCGGCAGGCCUAACACAUGCAAGUCGAGCGGAUGAAGGGAGCUUGCUCCUGGAUUCAGCGGCGGACGGGUGAGUAAUGCCUAGGAAUCUGCCUGGUAGUGGGGGAUAACGUCCGGAAACGGGCGCUAAUACCGCAUACGUCCUGAGGGAGAAAGUGGGGGAUCUUCGGACCUCACGCUAUCAGAUGAGCCUAGGUCGGAUUAGUUAGUUGGUGGGGUAAAGGCCUACCAAGGCGACGAUCCGUAACUGGUCUGAGAGGAUGAUCAGUCACACUGGAACUGAGACACGGUCCAGACUCCUACGGGAGGCAGCAGUGGGGAAUAUUGGACAAUGGGCGAAAGCCUGAUCCAGCCAUGCCGCGUGUGUGAAGAAGGUCUUCGGAUUGUAAAGCACUUUAAGUUGGGAGGAAGGGCAGUAAGUUAAUACCUUGCUGUUUCGACGUUACCAACAGAAUAAGCACCGGCUAACUUCGUG